rnacentral:rRNA from 1 species
CGGGACGGGUGAGUAAUGUCUGGGAAACUGCCUGAUGGAGGGGGGUAACUACUGGAAACGGUAGCUAAUACCGCAUAACGUCGCAAGACCAAGAGGGGGACCUUCGGGCCUCUUGCCAUCGGAUGUGCCCAGAUGGGAUUAGCUAGUAGGUGGGGUAACGGCUCACCUAGGCGACGAUCCCUAGCUGGUCUGAGAGGAUGACCAGCCACACUGGAACUGAGACACGGUCCAG